GCCCGGGUGGCGGAAUUGGUAGACGCACAGGACUUAAAAUCCUGUGGGAGCCUGCUCCCGUGCCGGUUCGAUUCCGGCCCCGGGCA
rnacentral:tRNA from 1 species